UACGUAGGGUGCAAGCGUUGUCCGGAAUUAUUGGGCGUAAAGAGCUCGUAGGCGGUCUGUCGCGUCGGCUGUGAAAACCCGAAGCUCAACUUCGGGCCUGCAUCCGAAACUGCCCGACUAGAGGUAGGUAGGGGAGAUCGGAAUUCCUGGUGUAGCGGUGAAAUGCGCAGAUAUCAGGAGGAACACCGGUGGCGAAGGCGGGUCUCUGGGCCAUAACUGACGCUGAGGAGCGAAAGCGUGGGGAGCGAACAGG
rnacentral:rRNA from 1 species